rnacentral:rRNA from 1 species
AACGCGAAGAACCUUACCAAGGCUUGAUAUGUCGGAAGUAGCGACCCGAAAGGGAAGCCACCUGUUGAGUCAGGAACCGUCACAGGUGCUGCAUGGCUGUCGUCAGCUCGUGCUGUGAAGUGUUAGGUUAAGUCCUAUAACGAGCGCAACCCUCGUUGCCAGUUGUUUUCUCUGGCGAGACCGCCCUGCAAAAUGGGGAGGAAGGUGGGGAUGACGUCAAGUCAGCACGGCCCUUAUGCCUUGGGCUACACACACGCUACAAUGGGUGGUACAAUGGGUAACAAUAGAGCGAUCUGGAGCCAAUCCUAUAAAGCCAUCCUCAGUUCGGAUUGCAGGCUGAAACUCGCCUGCAUGAAGUCGGAGUUGCUAGUAACCGCAGGUCAGCAUACUGCGGUGAAUAGGGGGCCGGGCCUUGUACACACCGCCCGCCACACCACGAAAGUUGGCGAUACCUGAAGUUACUGGGCCAA